ACCAUCCCUUCUAAUUUUGCAGCUGAUAUGCUGACUGUACUGGGAAGAAUGCAAUAUUAAUCACAGUAGAGCUGCAAUUACAAAUAUAAGAUAUUUCAGCUAAGCAGCAAGGAUAAUCUCUCACACUUAAGGCACUGGUGGGGUGGGUGACCAGCAAAGUGGAUGACCAACUCUAUUCAGAAGACCUUAAUGAUGACAGCAAUACUUCCACGUAUGGAUUUUCAUUAUGAAACUCUGCCUUGCUUGUGUCUGAAGCAAGGUCUCCUACCAGGCCCUAUCCUACCACCCAAAGUCUGAACAGCAACUCCUAUAUGACAAAUGCACAUAACUGAGCACUUUAAGAAAAGAUCAUCAGCUUUGUGGUUUAACUAUGAACAUACCCAGAUGGUGUCUGACACCCCUCGGAUCACCAGAAGCAUAUGUUGAUUUCCAGAACCAAUUCCUGUGAAAGGAGCUCAGCACCUGGCAGGAUGGUGAUCGAUACAGCCAACAUGAAGCUUUGGAGGUGCACAGGCCAAUUGCUGGCUUUGUGUACUAGCAUUAAUGAUAUCCUUGGAGAUGGUGCAUUUGAAUACGUAGUGCCAGAGGCACUGUGGAGUGGCUGGCAUUGAGUACUUGGUGCCAAACAGUGAAUCGUCCUUGAGUCCCAUUGACAUCGAUGGAAAUUAAGAAUCCUCAACAUCUGGCAGGAUUUAACUCAAAAUGAAGCUCAUUCUGGUGUAUUUCUUCUGUGAAUUUAAAUUAGUCAUAUACACAUGGACGGCACAGUGCUUUCAUUUAAAACAUUGGGAGCAAGGAAAUAAGAAGCUACGGGAUGAAGACUAUAUUUAUAUCACCAGUGAGAAAAACAAAU